GUGUCAGCAGCCGCGGUAAUACCGGCAGUCCGAGUGAUGGCCGAUCUUAUUGGGCCUAAAGCGUGCGUAGCUGGCUGAACAAGUCCGUUGGGAAAUCUGUCCGCUUAACGGGCAGGCGUCCAGCGGAAACUGUUCAGCUUGGGACCGGAAGACCUGAGGGGUACGUCUGGGGUAGGAGUGAAAUCCUGUAAUCCUGGACGGACCGCCGGUGGCGAAAGCGCCUCUGGAAGACGGAUCCGACGGUGAGGGACGAAAGCUCGGGUCACGAACCGGAUUAGAUACCCCCGUAGUCC
rnacentral:rRNA from 1 species